rnacentral:rRNA from 1 species
GCGCCUAACACAUGCAAGUCGAACGAGCGAGAGAAAGCUUGCUUUCUCGAGCGAGUGGCGAACGGGUGAGUAACGCGUGAGGAACCUGCCUCAAAGAGGGGGACAACAGUUGGAAACGACUGCUAAUACCGCAUAAGCCCACAGGUCGGCAUCGACCAGAGGGAAAAGGAGCAAUCCGCUUUGAGAUGGCCUCGCGUCCGAUUAGCUAGUUGGUGAGGUAACGGCCCACCAAGGCAACGAUCGGUAGCCGGACUGAGAGGUUGAACGGCCACAUUGGGACUGAGACACGGCCCAGACUCCUACGGGAGGCAGCAGUGGGGAAUAUUGCACAAUGGGGGAAACCCUGAUGCAGCGACGCCGCGUGGAGGAAGAAGGUCUUCGGAUUGUAAACUCCUGUUGUUGAGGAAGAUAAUGACGGUACUCAACAAGGAAGUGACGGCUAACUACGUGCCAGCAGCCGCGGUAAAACGUAGGUCACAAGCGUUGUCCGGAAUUACUGGGUGUAAAGGGAGCGCAGGCGGGAAGACAAGUUGGAAGUGAAAUCUAUGGGCUC